AUUGAACGCUGGCGGCAGGCCUAACACAUGCAAGUCGAGCGGACGAAGGGAGCUUUCUCCUGGAUUCAGCGGCGGACGGGCGAGUAAUGCCUAGGAAUCUGCCUGGCAGAGGGGGAUAACGUACGGAAACGGGAGCUAAUACCGCAUACGACCAGAUGUAGAACGGGGGGGAUCUUCGGACCUCACGCUAUCAGAUGAGCCUAGGUCGGAUUAGCUAGUUGGUGGGGUAAAGGCCUACCAAGGCGACGAUCCGUAACUGGUCUGAGAGGAUGAUCAGUCACACUGGAACUGAGACACGGUCCAGACUCCUACGGGAGGCAGCAGUGGGGAAUCUUGGACAAUGGGCGAAAGCCUGAUGCAGCCAUGCCGCGUGUGUGAAGAAGGUCUUCGGAUCGUAAAGCUCUGUUAGUAGGGAAGAAGAGAAGUAAGUGAAUCCCUGCCUGUCUUGACGUUACCUACUGAGAAAGCCCCGGCUAACUACGUG
rnacentral:rRNA from 1 species